rnacentral:rRNA from 1 species
UACGAAGGGUGCAAGCGUUGCUCGGAAUUAUUGGGCGUAAAGGGUAGGUAGGUGGUAGUAAAAGUCUGGGGUGAAAUCCCUGAGCUCAACUCAGGACGUGCCUUGGAAACUUUACUACUAGAGUACUGGAGAGGUUCGUGGAAUUCCCGGUGUAGCGGUGAAAUGCGUAGAUAUCUGGAGGAACACCGGUGGCGAAGGCGGCAUCCUGGACCGGCAUUGACGCUGAGGCGCGAAAGCCAGGGGAGCAAACGGG